GUCAGUGAGAAGCAAACACAGCUUUGUUUCAGCUGUACAUGUUGCCAACCAGCCUGGCUGGAGCAAGAGUUUCAGAGUGGUCAUCAUCCAGCACAACUUAGUUGUCCUAGAGUUGUUCAGAAAAACAUCUACAGUUCCCAGGCAACUGAGCAAACUCCAUCUGCUGAUGCAGGCCGUGUGAUAUUGUAAAAAUCUCCAGAAUGACAAUUUACAAAUUUCCACGGCAAAUAGCAUCAAACUUUCCUAAACGGCUGUGGCUGGAAAUGGCAAUGGAAGACAUCGUGGACAUGGAAAAACAUGCAAAGCAACAAAAUGAAUUUUAUUCAUCAUAUAGCCUAGUGUUUUACAGAAAAUAUUCAAAUGUAACCCCCAAUGUAAUCGUGAGCAUUUUCAUAAGUAACUGUAAUUUAAUUGCACAAUCUUCCCUAGUUACUGUAAUGUAUAACAGUUACAUUUAUUUUGUAAUCUAAUUCAAGAAUACGUUCUUUUAUUCAUUUCUAUCUGUGGGAUGGUUCUUGUUUUGUCAGAGGGGUUGUUGUUUGGGAUGCUUUAACUGUGCUCCCCCUCAUGAUGGGCGUCUGGGCACAUGAAGAGCUGUUUUCUUUACUCUGCUUUGAGCUGGACUGGUACAGUGCAUAGCCAUCGUCUCCACUUCUCACAGAAGUAGGUUUUAUGUUUUUUAUGUUGGUGAAUAUCAGGUGUUGUACUGUCUGUGCCAUCUGUGUGCAUAGAUUGUAUUGUGAUGCACUAUUGCUACGCCUGGCUACAAUCAUCACUGCUGUGACCACUAGAAAGUGUAGUUGUGACACCCCUUUAAAAAUGCGCUUCAGUUCACCAUCUCUCUGAAGACGGUAAUAAUUUCACUCUAACUGCAUGUGGCUAUCAGCGUUGGUGUUUGUAAAUUGAACUUUUUUCCAAUGAGGCUCAGUUGCAUGGAAAGAGCCCAAUUUUGUGCUAAAUGUAAAUAUGUGCAAAUAGCAUAAAAAUCCCCUUUCCAAUGCCUGGGGGGGUGUUGUGUUCGACACAGGUUCAAACACACUGAUUCAUUUGCCUGUUUGGUUCAGCUUGUUAAGGCUGUUGUGGAUUAAAUUGGAAAAUACAUAAAUUGUUUUUCCCUGUGUGGGUCCAGGUAGAGAUAAUGAUGCCGAGUGACAGUCACCAAAACAAUCACUCAACAAGUUACCUGUCUGUCCAUGCCAUCAUGUUUACUCCUCUUGGUUUGUUUGUAAAAGGUCAGUAUCAACACAAAACAUUUGACAUCUGGACCAAAUGAACCCAACUACGUGUGAAAGCUACCUUAAGCUCUCAUUUUUCAUUCUUCACCCAAAAACUUAUGGUCAUUUGUUUAACAACAAAUGCCUCUGAGGAGAAACUGUCCGAAAGUGUGUGCCAUUAUCCCCAUUUACACUAUAAAUUCCAUCUAGAAUUCAAAGACAUGCAGACUACUUGAAGGGAAGGAAGCAGUCAGUAGGCGGCUGUGAUGUUAGCCGUUUUGCUCCACCUUUGAGUGUGGCCAUUCAGGAUAGGUAUAAACUUUUUUGCCUUUAGAAGUCAACAUUGUAUUGUACGACCUUGUUUGUUUGAAGCAUACUAAACCUUCAAUAAAAGGAUUACUAAGGAUUAGGUAGGGAUUAUGCAGAUUUCAGAAAUUCAAGUGUUUAUAUUAACAGCUCAUCAGUACGUAUAUGGUAAAUUAUAGAGGUGUGUUGAAGCACAUGUGUAACGUGAAGCACACCGUGCAUAA